UGCGGGGUAGAGCAGCCCGGUAGCUCGUCAGGCUCAUCACCUGAAGGUCGCAGGUUCAAAUCCUGCCCCCGCAACCA
rnacentral:tRNA from 1 species